AGAGAAGCCGACGAGAUAUAUAUUCAUAGCAACAAACAGUAAAUAUUUUGAUUAAUUUGCGCUAAUUAUAGCACGUGUUGAUUUUUAAAGCUGUGCUCCCUUAUUAUUACGUCAUAAUCAUUUCAGAAAAGGCGCGCACAUUCUCGGUAAUUCCCCCCGAUUUUUAGAAAGAGGAACUUCUUGUAGCAACGGGUAUCGUGGCAACCAUUGUUGGUCGUUACUGGGUCUGUGCACAACGUAUCACAUGCUUGGUUGAUGAAAAAUAAACCUGCUUUUAUAUGCCAACCUCUACAUAAGCAUAAAAUGGCUACAAAUGAUGAACACCUGAUACAAUACAAAGGCGAUCAUGAAGGACGUGUACUUACAAAGUUAAACAGGUUACGUAAAAGAAAAGUGUUUACUGAUGUCACGUUCAAAUUAGAUGAUGGAGAAGUUUCAGCUCAGAAAAGUAUUCUUGCUGGAUAUUCUGAUUAUUAUGAGAAAAUGUUCACGUCUGGGGUAAUGUACCAAUUGAUAUUUAUUGUGACAAUUCUCUUCAUAAAUGUUAAUCUGUUAAAGUAGA